UGCCCUUGCACCGUGGUUGUCGUCCCU
rnacentral:piRNA from 1 species